ensembl:lncRNA
CUACGGCGUCUAUGGCGUCUACGCCGUCUACGGCGUCUAAGGCGUCUACGCCGUCUAAGGCGUCUACGCCGUCUAUGGCGUCUAUGGCGUCUAUGGCGUCUAAGUCGUCUAAGGUGUCUAUGGCGUCUAUGGCGUCUAUGGCGUCUAAGGCGUCUAUGGCGUCUAUGCCGUUUAAGGCGUCUAUGGCGUCUAUGGCGUCUAUGGCGUCUAAGGCGUCUAUGGCGUCUAUGGCGUCUAUGGCGUCUAAGGCGUCUGAGGCGUCUAUGGCGUCUAUGGCGUCUAUGGCGUCUAUGGCGUCUAAGGCGUCUAUGGCGUCUAAGGCGUCUAAGGCGUCUAUGCCGUCUAUGCCGUUUAAGGCGUCUAUGGCGUCUAUGGCGUCUAUGGCGUCUAAGGCGUCUAUGGCGUCUAUGCCGUCUAUGCCGUCUAUGCCGUCUAUGCCGUCUAAGGCGUCUAUGGCGUCUAAGGCGUCUAUGGCGUCUAUUGUGUCUAUGGCGUCUAAGGUAUCUAUGGCGUCUAUGGCGUCUAUGGCGUCUAAGGCGUCUAAGGCGUCUAUGGCGUCUGUGGCGUCUAUGGCGUCUAAGGCGUCUAUGGCGUCUAUGCCGUUUAAGGCGUCUAUGGCGUAUAUGGCGUCUAAGGCGUCUAUGGCAUCUAAGGCGUCUAUGGCGUCUAUGGCGUCUAUGCCGUUUAAGGCGUCUAUGGCGUAUAUGGCGUCUAUGGCGUCUAUGGCAUCUAAGGCAUCUAUGGCGUUUAAGGCGUCUAUGGCGUCUAAGGUGUCUAUGGCGUCUAUGGUUAUGUGUGAAAGGUGCAAAAAACCCUUCUGCGAUGGAGGGAUCGGUCUGUACUUCCUAUUUGCUUGGUUGAUUGUUUUUAUUAAUGUCGGGGCAAUAUUAUAAAUGAUUUACAUACAGGUCUUUCCUUAUUUUUGUAUUCCCUCAAUAAUUAUUGAUCUUCGAUGCAUUGAAUUAAUUGCCAUGAUGUCUGGAUGUUGUGGAUAAUUCAGUAUUCAGAGUACGAAUGAGGGGAAGUGGUUUGGUGUCUUCGGGGGCGAUGCGACGACCCAACGAGGUCCGGAUGCAGAAACACGGCGCGCUUUGUGCCCCCUGCUGAGUGUCCUGAUGAAAGGGGAUCGGGGAACGUUCCCUCGGCCCAAAUCUCAAAUGUAAAACCUCAUAAAAGCAACUCGGGGGCCGACUGCCGCUCUCCAGCAUCGAAGGGACGACCGCCAAUUGGUCCGUUUGCGCUGCCGCCAUUUUACAUCAAAUGGACUCCGGGGAAGAUCAGGAGACACUUUAGUCGGAAAGGCCGAGGCUGAAUGGAGACGGAGAAAGGGGAAAUGUAGAGAGUUUGAAAAAGAAAAGAGGCAGAGCAAAUGAAAUUGGACGAUGAAGAGCCGGGCGGGGAGACCGGCUGAAAGAAAAGGGGGCUCAAGAGGGAGGGAGAGGUGAGCGGUAGAGAGGGGCGCCGAAUGUGUCUGGGAAAAGUUUUGGAGCUGAGGUGCAUUGUGGGAGAGCAGACAGCGUGUCUGGGGGGGGGGGGGGGGGGUCUGAGGUGUGGAUUAAUGCCAGCGAUUGGAGGAGGGCCGCCGCAGUUGUGCGUGAGCGGAAUAUCAGAAUUGGGAGACGAGAGAGAAAAGGGAAGCGGAGACGGAACGGCUGCAGACACCGAACUCUCUUUCUUUUUUUUCCUGCACCCGAAGACGAGCAGCUCGCCGCACAAAAGAAAGCGGACGGGAACCGCCGCGGAAAUGUAGAGCAGCCCACUCAUAGAGCCCUCGUAUGCCUGCUUGCAGUUUUGCCACAGAUUAAUCCAAGAGCCUCAAAGCCUCGCUGAUCGUCAGGUAGUGUUUCAAGACUCAAGACUACUACACAACACUAGAGUCAGUCUGAGACACUCAAACCAAGAGAGAGCAACUCCGGGUCCCAGAUCCAGGAUCUAGGAUCUACGAUCCACGAUCUAUAAAUGGCACAAUCCAUCUCCCCUUUUUGUAUGAGAAAGCCAUUUGAAGCACCACUUAUUUUGAAGGCACGACGGGGAAAUUUCAUUAC